rnacentral:rRNA from 1 species
GUACAUUGGAGGGCAGUCUGGUGCCAGCAGCCGCGGUAAUUCCAGCUCCAAUAGCGUAUAUUAAAGUUGUUGCAGUUAAAAAGCUCGUAGUUGGAUAUCUGCUGGAAGCAAUCAGUCCGCCCUUUUCGUAAGGGUGUGCACUUGAUGAAUUCUGGCAUGAUUUCAUCCUAAUAAUAAUAUAUUAUUAUAUUAGGUUGAUUCCUAGUAUAAUAAUAUUUAUUAUUAUGGGGAUGACAGUUACUUUGAGAAAAUUAGAGUGUUUGAAGCAGGCUUUUGUUGCCUUGAAUACUGCAGCAUGGAAUAACAAUAUAGGAUUUCGGUUCUAUUAUUUUGUUGGUUUUUUCUGUAGGACUGAAAUAAUGAUUAAUAGGGACAGUUGGGGGCAUUCGUAUUUAACUGUCAGAGGUGAAAUUCUUAGAUUUGUUAAAGACGAACUACUGCGAAG